rnacentral:rRNA from 1 species
GUGCCAGCCCGGCGGUAAUACGGAGGGUGCAAGCGUUAAUCGGAAUUACUGGGCGUAAAGCGCACGCAGGCGGUCUGUCAAGUCGGAUGUGAAAUCCCCGGGCUCAACCUGGGAACUGCAUUCGAAACUGGCAGGCUAGAGUCUUGUAGAGGGGGGUAGAAUUCCAGGUGUAGCGGUGAAAUGCGUAGAGAUCUGGAGGAAUACCGGUGGCGAAGGCGGCCCCCUGGACAAAGACUGACGCUCAGGUGCGAAAGCGUGGGGAGCAAACAGGAUUAGAUACCCUGGUAGUCCACGCCGUAAACGAUGUCGAUUUGGAGGUUGUGCCCUUGAGGCGUGGCUUCCGGAGCUAACGCGUUAAAUCGACCGCCUGGGGAGUACGGCCGCAAGGUUAAAACUCAAAUGAAUUGACGGGGGCCCGCACAAGCGGUGGAGCAUGUGGUUUAAUUCGAUGCAACGCGAAGAACCUUACCUGGUCUUGACAUCCACAGAACUUUCCAGAGAUGGAUUGGUGCCUUCGGGAACUGUGAGACAGGUGC